AGUGCACGGUGACAGAAGAGGUUAUGUUUGUUAAAAUAUAACAUGACCGGAAUGAGAAAACCAAUCACGAUUCAAGGAGAAGUGAAACAGCUGACAUAAAUCAGAUCAGAUAAGUUAUUUUUAUUAAACGCUAAAUAUCAAAUGAAAAUAAAUGGUAGUUUGUGAAAAAUUUUGUAUUGGCUAUAGGUGAAGCAGAGGAACAUUAAUUACAACUGAAGGUCGGAAAACUGUUGUUACGAAGCAUAUUUUUCGUAAUUGCAAUUUAUAUUGAAUAUACAAGCGACAGUACCAUCGCUGAAGAUAAGUUAUAAAGGAUCAACGGUCGCACGAGCGUUGUUUCUCGAUGUAAGCCUAGAAUUUCAGUAUUGCACAACAAAUAGUUGGUAAUUAAAGAGAACGACUCGUAAUUUUUGUGAUUACCAUUUUCAAUUUAUUCAUUAUUUACACACGUUUAUCUGUGUCAACCUGGGAGCUACACGGAGUACCGUAAAUAUGCUAUUUUUAUAUAUAUAUAUAUAUUUAAACUAUACAUCAUACAUACUAUACAAACGGAUUAUUUACAAUGUUUACACGGUGUUUUUUUUACCUAUUCACAGAUUUUACAUCGAAACACGCCAUUAUCGAUAAGGCAUCUGUACAAAUAUACAACACGCAUUAAUUAGGCUUGGAGAAAUAAAUAGUAAUCCUUAAGCA